rnacentral:lncRNA from 1 species
CUCAACAAAUGCUUUUUUGCAUGCAGGUAGCUGAUUUACUUUGCUAUAUAGUACAAAUGAAUACAUUUUAACUAAAAAACAAACAAACUCCUCCCUCUCACCCCUAAAAGACUUGCUGAUGCUUUCUGAGUUAUAAUUUCUGUAUUUGUAAAAUGGAAAUGUUGGAGAUCAGGUGAAAUUCUUGUGAAAUUCUUGAUCUUAGCAGGUGCAUAUUAAUGUUACUCUAUCUGUCAUUCUAGUAACUUCUGUGUCCAGGCAGGUUUUCCCCAGACAAGUCUGAUACGGAAUACUUUGUCUUGUUUUCUCCACAUGUUCUCCCAAUACUUAUGAAACCAUUGACCCUUCUGCUGGGUAUGACGUGUAUCAUCUCCACUAAAUCUUAUGGUUUAAUAAAUCUUUGAUAUUUAACACCAUCCAGACCUGGUCCAUGUGCUCCUGCACACUCUAAGUUAGGCAGCUAUGAUUUAGGCUGGAUUUGAAAACGAUCUGGAGACGGAUGAGGGUCUCUUUAUUGUAUCUCAGCCUAUCACCCUGUCAAUCUUUGUUAGAACCUAUUCUCCUCCUUCACACCCUCACUUCAAGUUAUUAGUUUGCUCAUUAGUCUAUGAUCAGUGUUUCUCAUUCGUCUGUAAACUUCACGGAACCAAAGGCACAUCUGUUCUUUUCACAGACACCUAGCAUAAAGCCCGGCGUAUAGGAGCAACUCCACAAAUGCUUUUUUGCAUGCAGGUAGCCGUGAAGAUGGAAGAGGCAAGAACAUGUGUCAGAGGAACGGUUUGUGACACUAGCUUACCAGAGAAUACAUUGUGGGAAAUGCUCUGCUCCAAAGCCGAAGAGCUAAGGCUCUUUGCGUAUCCAAUAAGCACCUGACACCUCCUCCCUCCCUUUCAGUUUCCAUAAUAGAAGAUGUGAAAACUAAAUGAAACGCAUGCUUUCUUACACUGUUUUGCAUCUAGGGGUAGCUAUUAUAUGAGACAGUCUGGGCCAGUAACACCUAAAGGCAAUUCUUAGCGGACUCUUACAAGAAUACUGAUUUCCCUUGUAAGGGGGUGCCAUGCAUGGAGCUCUUGCACAUACAUCAGUAAGAGGCCUGAGGAAGUUGGCUCCGGCAUAGGUGAGCGCUGGAGGAAUGCUAGGAACAGUCUAUGCAUACUUUUAGUAACACGUAGAAAUGAAAAGCAAACAAGUCAUAUAAAGUCUCUGAAAAGCAAGUUUACUUGCAGCUGAACACUCUUCUAAAAGAUUUAUCUACCAUCUAUUGAGUGCUUUCCUUGUGUUCCUAGGAAGCAUUUAAUACAUAUGAAUUCGGCCACUCCUCACAACACUGUAAUACCAUUUCACAGGUGAGGAAGCAGACUUAAGUACCUUGUUCAAAUUCACACAGAUGAUGGACUAACCUUUGGAAAUGUAGCCACUAUAACCCCAGAAGUUAUUAAUGUUUCUCAUUUUAAAUUAGGCAGUUAGUGUCCUCUUUUAAAACAGAGCCCUCACCGUCUGCCAUGAGAUGUGGAAGAGACAUGUAUAAGCCUUUUCAGAGAGAGGGCCCGCACCCAGUGUAGCUUUACAGCAGCCAGUGUGGGUUUACGGCACCCAGUGCAGAUUUACGGCAGCCAGUGUGGGUUUACGGCAGCCUGCCUCUUCACACAUUGCAUGGAGGGGAGCAGAGCCAGGCAGGCGUGGCAGCUUCUCUCCAGAGACUGACAUCCACAGACUAAGGUUACACCGUUAAGCUCACUUUAGAUCCCAGUAGUGGGCCCAUUGGCAUAUUACAGGAUGCAAACCUGAGGAGCGCAACUAAUGAAGGUAAUUCAGACUAAAGUGUGAAAAUACUGGGAGCACCCGAGUCCACUUGUUUGCCUUUAAAUAAGCCCCAGUGUGCCAGGUAACGUGAUAU